GGGUCAGUUCAGGGACACUCAAGGCACUGUAUUGCUGUGAUCCUCUCGAUGUCAAUGGAGCAAAACCAACCAUGAAGAAGUGGAGUCUCGGGAAAGGGAUCAAGUUCACAGCAAGCUUCCUAAGGUCGGAGUUUAGCUGACCAGGGAAACGAAGACAGCAAGUAACACCACUCAUUGUAGCAGAGAUGAGGUGGUUAAGAUCACCAACUAGUCACACACACAAAACACAAGUCAGAACUCAAAUCACAUUUACAUAGGAAGAGAGAGACAAUUCAAUAGAAUUGUACUCACAUGUGGGGUUAGCGAGCUUGAGGGUACGGAAGCAGAUAUCGUAGAGAGCCUCAUUGUCCAAAACCAUACACUCGUCAGCGUUUUCAACAAGCUGAUGAACCGAGAGAGUUGCAUUGUACGGCUCAACAACAGUGUCAGAGACCUUGGGAGAAGGAAACACAGAGAAGGUCAUCAUCAUACGAUCUGGAUACUCCUCUCUUAUCUUAGAGAUCAGAAGCGUUCCCAUCCCAGAUCCAGUUCCUCCACCCAAUGAAUGACAAACCUGGAAACCUAUUCAAAGACCCAAACCAACACGCAUAAAAACAAUAAUAUCAUCGCUAUUCAAGAUCAAGAUUCAAUACUCACUAACCAAGACCUAAAUCGAUCUUGAUUGUUCUAGAUUCAAUAUCAAAAUCGAGGAGAUACGCUCCAUCUUCUCACCUUGGAGACAAUCGCUGUUCUCAGCUUCCUUCCUCACAACAUCAAGCACGGAAUCGAUCAACUCCGCGCCCUCCGUGUAGUGACCUUUCGCCCAGUUGUUCCCGGCGCCGGACUGCCCAAACACGAAGUUAUCAGGCCUGAAAAUCUGCCCGUACGGCCCAGAUCUGAGCGAAUCCAUCGUCCCAGGCUCCAGAUCCAUGAGAACGGCGCGUGGGACGUACUUCCCGCCGCUCGCCUCGUUGAAAUAGACAUCGAUGCGCUCGAGCUGGAGAGGAGAGUCGCCGACGUACUGGCCGGUGUGGUCGAAACCAUGAAGAAGUGGAGUCUCGGGAAAGGGAUCAAGUUCACAGCAAGCUUCCUAAGGUCGGAGUUUAGCUGACCAGGGAAACGAAGACAGCAAGUAACACCACUCAUUGUAGCAGAGAUGAGGUGGUUAAGAUCACCAACUAGUCACACACACAAAACACAAGUCAGAACUCAAAUCACAUUUACAUAGGAAGAGAGAGACAAUUCAAUAGAAUUGUACUCAC
rnacentral:lncRNA from 1 species